CUUUCUGGUCUGUACUGACGCUGAGGCGCGAAAGCGUGGGGAGCAAAACAGGAUUAGAUACCCUGGUAGUCCACGCCGUAAACGAUGAGUGCUAAGUGUUAGGGGGUUUCCGCCCCUUAGUGCUGCAGCUAACGCAUUAAGCACUCCGCCUGGGGAGUACGGUCGCAAGACUGAAACUCAAAGGAAUUGACGGGGGCCCGCACAAGCGGUGGAGCAUGUGGUUUAAUUCGAAGCAACGCGAAGAACCUUACCAGGUCUUGACAUCCCGUUGACCACUGUAGAGAUAUAGUUUCCCCUUCGGGGGCAACGGUGACAGGUGGUGCAUGGUUGUCGUCAGCUCGUGUCGUGAGAUGUUGGGUUAAGUCCCGCAACGAGCGCAACCCUUGAUCUUAGUUGCCAUCAUUUAGUUGGGCACUCUAAGGUGACUGCCGGUGACAAACCGGAGGAAGGUGGGGAUGACGUCAAAUCAUCAUGCCCCUUAUGACCUGGGCUACACACGUGCUACAAUGGACGAUACAAACGGUUGCCAACUCGCGAGAGGGAGCUAAUCCGAUAAAGUCGUUCUCAGUUCGGAUUGUGGCUGCAACUCGCCUACAUGAAGCCGGAAUCGCUAGUAAUCGCGGAUCAGCAUGCCGCGGUGAAU
rnacentral:rRNA from 1 species